GUUUUUUCCAUUUGUCUCCUAUAGGUAAGAGAACUGGACGGUAUAGCUCUCAUUCUGGACAACUGCAGCAUUGAUAGCAACAACCCCUUCAUAAGCCAGUGGGCUGUGUUUGCCAUCCGGAACAUCAUGGAACACAACCUAGAGAAUCAGAAGCUGAUACAAGGUCUUCGGAGACAAGGUGUGGCAGAUGACACGAUGCUCAGAGAAAUCGGCUUCAGAGUGGAAGAAAGGGAUGGCAGUCUACUGCUUAGGCCCCUAAAGAAGGACCCAUAGUUGAUUAAGUAGAGCCCGGGAUGCCCAUCCCCACACCCCUUUACCAUGCUAUAUUACACUCUGGAGAUGGCUUAAAAUGCCCACAACACACUGGGGCCAUUAAAUAUCCAAUCAGUAGUUGGCAGCACAAGGGGGUGGUCUGGGCUUUGUGUUCUCCACACAAGAGGAAAUCAAUCAGAGGAGCUUAUCUGAGAGGACUCAUGCUGAUGUCUGUGAUGCAUUUAGUGGUCUUUGAUUCCAACCCCCCCAAAGUGGGAUUCAAAUCCUAU